rnacentral:rRNA from 1 species
AUUUAGAGGAAGGAGAAGUCGUAACAAGGUUUCCGUAGGUGAACCUGCGGAAGGAUCAUUGUCGAAUCCUGCCCAGCAGACGACCGCGAACCCGUUGUAACCGCCGGGCGCCGGGGGAGGGGCGGCGAGGCCCUGUUGAGCCCUCCCUCCUUCCCCGUCGCUCCCCGCGUGCCCGUCGCGCGGACGAACAACCCAACCCCGGCGCGGAAAGCGCCAAGGAAAACUCAAUAUGAUCGCUCGGCCCCCGACCGCCCCGUCCGCGGAGCGCGGGAGGGGACGCCGCGGCGUCUGUCGUAUAACCAAAACGACUCUCGGCAACGGAUAUCUCGGCUCUCGCAUCGAUGAAGAACGUAGCGAAAUGCGAUACUUGGUGUGAAUUGCAGAAUCCCGCGAACCAUCGAGUCUUUGAACGCAAGUUGCGCCCGAAGCCAUCAGGCCUAGGGCACGUCUGCCUGGGCGUCACGCAUCGCGUCGCCAACCCCMCUCCUCGCGGGGCGGCGGAGAGUGGCCUCCCGUGCCCCCCGGGCGCGGCCGGCCUAAAUGCGAGUCCUCGACGGGGGACGUCACGACCAGUGGUGGUUGAAUCCCUCAACUGGAGUCCUCGUCGUGCCGUCGGCCCCCGUCGUCAUUCGGGCUCCCCCGACCCUCACGGCUCGCGUCUCGACUCGAGCCUCGACCGCGACCCCAGGUCAGGCGGGAUUACCCGCUGAGUUUA